GAAUGAACGCUGGCGGCAUGCCUAACACAUGCAAGUCGAACGAGAUCUUCGGAUCUAGUGGCGCACGGGUGAGUAACGCGUGGGAACCUACCUUUUAGUACGGGACAACGUUUGGAAACGAACGCUAAUACCGUAUAAGCCCUCCGGGGGAAAGGUCAGCCGCUAAAAGAGGGGCCCGCGUCUGAUUAGCUUGUUGGUAAGGUAAUGGCUUACCAAGGCGACGAUCAGUAGCUGGUCUGAGAGGAUGAUCAGCCACACUGGGACUGAGACACGGCCCAGACUCCUACGGGAGGCAGCAGUGGGGAAUAUUGGACAAUGGAGGCAACUCUGAUCCAGCAAUGCCGCGUGUGUGAUGAAGGCCCUAGGGUUGUAAAGCACUUUCAACGGUGAAGAUGAUGACGGUAGCCGUAGAAGAAGCCCCGGCUAACUUCGUGCCAGCAGCCGCGGUAAUACGAAGGGGGCGAGCGUUAUUCGGAAUUAUUGGGCGUAAAGGGCUCGCAGGCUGCUUGAACAGUUAGACGUGAAAUCCCCGGGCUUAACCUGGGAACUGCGUUUAAUACUAGCAAGCUAGAGAAAUAGAGAGGAAAGUGGAACUCCCAGUGUAGAGGUGAAAUUCGUAGAUAUUGGGAAGAACACCAGUGGCGAAAGCGACUUUCUGGCUAUUUUCUGACGCUGAGGAGCGAAAGCGUGGGGAGCAAACAGGAUUAGAUACCCUGGUAGUCCACGCCGUAAACGAUGACAACUAGCUGUUGGGAGACUAUGUCUUUCAGUGGCGCAGCUAACGCUUUAAGUUGUCCGCCUGGGGAGUACGGCCGCAAGGCUAAAACUCAAAUGAAUUGACGGGGACCCGCACAAGCGGUGGAGCAUGUGGUUUAAUUCGAUGCAACGCGAAAAACCUUACCUACUCUUGACAUACUUGGAAGCUCUUGUAAUGGGAGUGUGCCUUUUGGAGCCAAGAUACAGGUGCUGCAUGGCUGUCGUCAGCUCGUGUCGUGAGAUGUUCCGUUAAGUCGGAUAACGAGCGCAACCCUUACCCUUAUUUGCCAGCGAUUCGGUCGGGAACUAUAAGGGGACUGCCGGUGAUAAACCGGAGGAAGGUGAGGACGACGUCAAGUCAUCAUGGCCCUUACGAGUAGGGCUACACACGUGCUACAAUGGGGAAUACAGACGGACGCUAAGCCGCGAGGUGGUGCUAAUCCUAGAAAGUUCUUCGUAGUCCGGACUGGAGUCUGCAACUCGCCUCCAUGAAGUCGGAAUCGCUAGUAAUGCCGUAUCAGCUACGACGGCGUGAAUACGUUCCCGGGUCUUGCACUCACCGCC
rnacentral:rRNA from 1 species